rnacentral:rRNA from 1 species
CUACGGGUGGCUGCAGUGGGGAAUUUUGCGCAAUGGGCGAAAGCCUGACGCAGCAAUACCGCGUGAGUGAAGAAGGCCUUUGGGUCGUAAAGCUCUUUUCUGGGGGAAGAUAGUGACGGUACCCCAGGAAUAAGCACCGGCUAACUCCGUGCCAGCAGCCGCGGUAAUACGGAGGGUGCAAGCGUUGUUCGGAUUUACUGGGCGUAAAGGGCACGUAGGCGGCACAGCAAGUUAAGGGUGAAAUCCCGGGGCUCAACUCCGGAACUGCUCUUAAAACUGCUGAGCUAGAGAUGGUCAGAGGAGGGUAGAAUUCCUGGUGUAGAGGUGAAAUUCGUAGAUAUCAGGAGGAAUACCGGUGGCGAAGGCGGCCCGCUGGGGCCAUUCUGACGCUAAGGUGCGAAAGCGUGGGGAGCGAACGGGAUUAGAUACCCCGGUAGUC